rnacentral:lncRNA from 1 species
AUGAAAUCCAAUGCUGCCGACAGUGCUUUGUGGCUACAAAGCUGUAGGCACACGAAGUGGGACUCCGUAGAGUCAGUGACAACUACCCUAGAGUUCGGGAAGCCUCUCCCACCGUGGGAACCUACUUUCCCUCCCCAAACCUGGUCUGUCCUUCUGAUUUCCCCCACCUCCUCUCCCCUCCCCUCUCUUCCCACUACUUCCACUCCUCUCCUCCUCCUCCCCUUUUUCCUGUCCUCCUCCCCUCCCCCUUUUCCUCCCCUCCCCCUCUUCCCCCUCCCCUCCUCUUCUCCUCCCCUCUCCUCCUCUUCCCCUCCCCCUUGCCCUCCCUCCCCUCUUGCCCUCCCCCUCCUCCCCUUCCCCUCCCUUGUCCCCUCCCCUUCCCCUCUUGCCCUCCCCUCUCCUUCCCCUCCUCCUCCCCUCUCCCCUUCCCCCCUUGCCCUCCCCCUCUCCUCUUCCUCCCCUCCCCUCCUCUCGCCCUCCCCCUCCUCCCCUCCCCCUCUUCCUCCCCUCUCCUUCCCCUCCUCCCCCCUCCCCCCACUCUCCCUCCCCUUCCCCUCUUGCCCUCCCCUCUCCUCUCCUCCCCUCCCCUCUCCUUCCCUCCUCCUCCUCCCCCCUCUCCCCUUCCCCUCUUGCCCUCCUCUCUCCUCUUCCCCUCCCCCUUGCCCUCCUCUCCUCUCUUCCUCCCCUCCCCUCCUCUCGCCCCUCCCCUCCUCCCCUCCCCUCUUCCUCCCCUCCCCUCCUCCCCCUCCUCCUCCUCCCCCUCUCCCCUUCCCCUCUUGCCCUCCCCUCUCCUCUUCCCCUCCCCCUUGCCCUCCUCUCUCCUCUUCCUCCCCUCCUCUCGCGCCCUCCCUCCUCCCUCCCCCUCUUCCUCCCCUCUCCUCCCCCUCCUCCUCCUCCUCCUCCCCUCUCCCCUUCCCCUCUUGCCCUCCUCUCUCCUCUUCCCCCCCCCCCUUGCCCUCCUCUCUCCUCUUCCUCCCCCUCCUCUCGCCCCUCCCCUCCUCUCCCUCCCCCACUUGCCCUCCCCUCCCCUCCUCCUUCCCUCUCCCCUCCCCUCCUCCCGUCCUCCCCUCCCCUCCCCUCUCCUUCCCGUCCUCCUUCCCCUCCUCUUCCUCCUCCUCCCCCCCUUCCCCUCCUCCUCCUCCUCCGUCGGCCCCUCCCCGCGCUUGGCGGGAGCUUUCCUCGCGUGACCACUCUGCGUAA